UACGGGGGGGGCAAGCGUUGUUCGGAAUUACUGGGCGUAAAGGGCUCGUAGGCGGCCAACUAAGUCAGACGUGAAAUCCCCAGGCUCAACCUGGGAACUGCGUCUGAUACUGGAUGGCUUGAAUCCGGGAGAGGGAUGCAGAAUUCCAGGUGUAGCGGUGAAAUGCGUAGAUAUCUGGAGGAAUACCGGUGGCGAAGGCGGCUCCCUGGACCGGUAUUGACGCUGAUGCGCGAAAGCCAGGGGAGCAAACGGG
rnacentral:rRNA from 1 species